ACUCCUACGGGAGGCAGCAGUGGGGAAUAUUGCACAAUGGGCGCAAGCCUGAUGCAGCCAUGCCGCGUGUAUGAAGAAGGCCUUCGGGUUGUAAAGUACUUUCAGCAGUGAGGAAGGUGGAUGCGUUAAUAGCGUAUUCAUUUGACGUUAGCUGCAGAAGAAGCACCGGCUAACUCCGUGCCAGCAGCCGCGGUAAUACGGAGGGUGCGAGCGUUAAUCGGAAUUACUGGGCGUAAAGCGCAUGCAGGCGGCCUGUUAAGUCAGAUGUGAAAGCCCGGGGCUUAACCUCGGAAUUGCAUUUGAAACUGGCAGGCUAGAGUCUUGUAGAGGGGGGUAGAAUUUCAGGUGUAGCGGUGAAAUGCGUAGAGAUCUGAAGGAAUACCAGUGGCGAAGGCGGCCCCCUGGACAAAGACUGACGCUCAGAUGCGAAAGCGUGGGGAGCAAACAGGAUUAGAUACCCUGGUAGGAUAG
rnacentral:rRNA from 1 species